GACGGAGGAUGCAAGUGUUAUCCGGAAUCACUGGGCGUAAAGCGUCUGUAGGUGGUUCGAAAAGUCCACUGUUAAAAAUUGAGGCUUAACUUCAAAGAUGCCGUGGAAACUUUCAAACUAGAGUAUGGUAGGGGUAGAGGGAAUUUCCAGUGGAGCGGUGAAAUGCGUAGAUAUUGGAAAGACCACCGAUGGCGAAGGCACUCUACUGGGCCACUACUGACACUGAGGAACGAAAGCCAGGGGAGCAAACGGG
rnacentral:rRNA from 1 species